rnacentral:tRNA from 1 species
UUCCAUGUGGUCCAGUGGCUAAGACUCUGUACUCUCAAUGCAGGGGGCCUAGGUUUGAUCCCUGGUUGGGAAG